rnacentral:rRNA from 1 species
AUUGAACGCUGGCGGCAUGCUUUACACAUGCCAGUCGAACGGCAGCGCGGGGCAACCUGGCGGCGAGUGGCGAACGGGUGAGUAAUAUAUCGGAACGUACCCAAGAGUGGGGGAUAACGUAGCGAAAGUUACGCUAAUACCGCAUACGAUCUAAGGAUGAAAGUGGGGGAUCGCAAGACCUCAUGCUCCUGGAGCGGCCGAUAUCUGAUUAGCUAGUUGGUGAGGUAAAGGCUCACCAAGGCGACGAUCAGUAGCUGGUCUGAGAGGACGACCAGCCACACUGGAACUGAGACACGGUCCAGACUCCUACGGGAGGCAGCAGUGGGGAAUUUUGGACAAUGGGCGCAAGCCUGAUCCAGCAAUGCCGCGUGAGUGAAGAAGGCCUUCGGGUUGUAAAGCUCUUUUGUCAGGGAAGAAACGGUAGAGGCUAAUAUCCUUUGCUAAUGACGGUACCUGAAGAAUAAGCACCGGCUAACUACGUG